UAAAAUAAAUCAAUAUUGAUUUUUUUUAUAGAGCGUUAAAGUUUUGCGAAGCCAGGGGGCGGGACUACUUGAUUGACAGUCUGGUCUGGAAUGAUUGACAGGUCCUAUGGAGGAGGCAGCAGAGACUCUGCUCUCCUCGUUUGGAUUAAUUCUGAUAUAAUAACUGUUGGUUUAUUUAUCGGUGCAGCAGCAGAACAUUUUCCACAGACAGUUUUCCUGCCCGUUGGCUUGUUUUAACCAGUUUUCUACCUUCGGCUGAUUCUACCAGCAGACACUGAAAGGACUCUGAUAGUUCGAGUGAAAGUAGCAGUUCCUCCUGAAGGUCAGAGAUUGCAGCAUCUGAGGGCCUCUUCAAAAGAAGACGUAGUUGAUGAAGGUGUUCUGGAGCAGGACCAGAAAGACCACGACCAAGCAGCCUUGAGAUCUUAGGCAGCGUCUCCCUGAGGUCCCUCUCUAUCUCCCCACACAUCCACCAACCACUGGAACACAUCUCCAAAGUUCUGCUGGACCAGCUCAGCUUCCCCUCAGAAGAAGUGCCGCCACCUGCCAGAUGAAGGAGCCUUUUGAGAGGCAGCUGGCAUCGUGAUUGGACUGUACUUUGGUCUGUUCCAAUCCAGCUUCAGCUCCAGAGACGGCAGGCGGGACGAGUCAACGGAGGCCGGGUGGACGAAGGCAUGCAGCUGAGU